rnacentral:misc_RNA from 1 species
UCAUCUGCUGUGAAAUUUUCUUUGCAGGUAAAACCAUUAACUUUCACAGCUGUUGGUGAUUUAGAACAAACACAAAAACAUGAAUCAGCCAUUAAAGAUUAUAAAUUUCUUAUUACAUAAUCAGAAAGAAUGAAUUUUGGAGAAGGGGGGAAAGGAUUCAGGAGUACCAGAGGUAAGAUCAGCAACACAGACAUCUUGAAGCAUGUCAGGAUCAGCAGUAACAGAGGCCAAGACAAUACCAAAAGACAAAACAAAUAGGGCCACCAUAGCCGUCAUAGUUGCAGGGAUAGUGUUUUUUGGUUCCUUUCUCUCUCUCUGAGUGUUUGCAGUUAAAGCAGAAGACAAAGGGCAAGAAAGAGGGAGGUUUGUUUGGAAUGAAUCAACUGGAGAGAGUUUGGAAAUGCUUUUAUAGUGACUGACAACUGCAUAUCCUAUGGUAUAGACAAUUCAUAUUUUAAAUCUAAAUGGAUGCUGUGAAGGUUAAAGCACGAAACUUGCCUUCUUAAACCAAAAGGGAAGUAAUGAUUCUUGAGCUUGGACUGGUAUCCUGGUGACCCACAUGCCCUUUUUUAUAUUUUCUUAUUUUAAGCUCUAAGAUGCGCGGUAAAUCUAAGAAAAAUCUGGUUAGUUCACUUGGGAGUUUGUUUUUCAUUGUCACCAUGACACUACAGGCUUAGCCAGACACUGACCGUAAUUUUGAACAUUUUAUUUAGCCUGGAAGAGUAUGUGUUAUAGAUAAAAACCUAUAUUCCAUUUGGAGUCUUGAAUGUAUUUCUUUUUCUUUCUUAGGUAUGUAAAGAAUUUUGGAUCAAAACAAGCCAAAGAACACUUUCAUCUGUUUUGCCCUGGAUUUUGUUUGAAGGGAAUGCAAUGGUUACAAGAAGGGAAAUGUACAACUUAUUCUAU